UACGUAGGGGGCUAGCGUUAUCCGGAAUUACUGGGCGUAAAGGGUGCGUAGGUGGUUUCUUAAGUCAGAGGUGAAAGGCUACGGCUCAACCGUAGUAAGCCUUUGAAACUGGGGAACUUGAGUGCAGGAGAGGAGAGUGGAAUUCCUAGUGUAGCGGUGAAAUGCGUAGAUAUUAGGAGGAACACCAGUUGCGAAGGCGGCUCUCUGGACUGUAACUGACACUGAGGCACGAAAGCGUGGGGAGCUAACAGG
rnacentral:rRNA from 1 species